rnacentral:tRNA from 1 species
GCGGAUGUAGCUCAGUUGGUAGAGCGCAACCUUGCCAAGGUUGAGGUCGCGGGUUCGAGUCUCGUCAUCCGCUCAA